AACUCAGCAGGGAAUUUUUAAGUUAUUUUCUUUGCUUUGCCAUCCUUUCCUUCCCUUCCCCACUCUUGACCCCCUGUCCCCAACUUGAGUGAUAGGGGAUUUUUUAAUGCAUUAUUUUAGAGUGCAGUCAAGUCAGGAACAUACCUGUAUCUCCCCUUGAGUUCAGUGAGAACUAUGUGCCUAGUACUAAAGUACAGAAUGUGGGUCAAUGUCCAUUCUGUAACUCAUUUCUCUAUAAAUUAGACUGCAACCCCCCUGGGAAUAAAGGAUUAACUUAUGUUUGUGCUUGGUCUUGAGCAUGUUGUCAGCUCUCAAUAAAAAGAAGUCUGUGGUUCAUUCUACCCAGUGUAACUCUAGAGUACAUUGGAUUGGACAAAAGAGUGAAUACUCGGAUCCCAAAUCCAAAGGAAAGAACCUGCCAGAGCUCCAACUUCAGACCAAUUUAGAAGGUAAUUAACUAUUCCCAGAUCCCAGAGCUAUUCUGAGAGGAAAGUGCACCACGUAAAAUUGUAUGCUUGAAGCCUACCAAAGACUUGGGGUGCUCGGAAGUGUGACGGAUUCUCACACUGUUGAGUUUGAUGAGCAGCGCUGGAGAGAGCAAGUUUUCCCUGGAUAUUUGCAGAAGGCAUUAUCUGCCUCCUUAUGCCUUUGUCUGUCCCAUAUUGUGCUUCAGGAGGACAACAGACAUGUAUAUCCCACCCUUGGAAUGAUGAUCAGUGUUAUUUCUGUAAAAGACGCUGUAUAAUGCAGCUCUUCUGAGUGCAGCGAGGAGCAUAGAGGCAACCUGCUUCGCUACACAAUUCACAUCUCUCUUCGGAACAAUACAGCGACAAGUGUACUGAGACCGUAAGUUAGCCAAGCAGGCUUCAGAACAGACUGAGCAGUAAGGAAAGCAAGAAAAAGAUUCAGUUUGGAGAACACUGAAAAGUUUUCUCUCAAGUUAUUAAAACAUCCACCUUUUAAAAUUGUCAAAAUGCACCUCUGUCAUCCAUAUAAUGGAUAUUUACUUCUUUCCCUGCCUCUCUCCUGGUUCUCCGUAAGCACUAUUUCAGAACUGAAGAAUUGGUUCAAGGCUGCGCAGACUCUGGGCAUGUUUCUGCUUUAUCCCGUGUCCUAUUUUAAAGGCUCAAGAGGAAAUGAAAUGAAGUGGUAGACCAACCCAGCACAGAAGGUGAGUUUCAGUGAUGUUAAACAAUAACCAAUGUGGCCAGUAUGCCUUCAAGUAAUACAGACUGAAAUCCUGAGUCUAGAAAAUUAUCUUGGGUUGUGAAUUAAUAAUAUUCUGUAGCUUGUCAAACAGUAAUAACACAAAUACAGUAAUCUAACAACAAGAAUGAACUAGCUGCAGAAAUGUAUUUGCACUGAGUUGUUUAACUGAGAGAUGGAACUGAACCUGGAAAGGAGGGAAGAGCAUGAUGCACUUUCCUCUAGCAAAUCAUAGCUCAGAGCCAAUUCCAAUUCAAACAAGAACUGAGAAAACUAGAUUUAUUUUGAUGGAAAAUGAGGAGAGCAUAGGGUGACCUAAUAGGAAGCUAAGGCCAAAACAUGAACUAAUUAAAAAUAUGGGCUGAACUGUUUAUGAAAAAUGUUAUUAAAUACUAAGGGCUUUAUUUCAAGAGGAGGAAAAUGCAAAUGGUAAAAUAAAGGAAAAUAAUUUUGCUGGGGUAUAGAGAGAUGCUGGUCUUGUCAGAAUGUUUAAUUAUAAAGAGCUAAUGCUUCUGUUCUCUUUAGGGGAUGGAUUUGAGUAUGUAUUCCCUGUGCAGGAUAACACUCAAAGGUAUAGUUUAAAAAAAAAAAAGAAAAAGAAAAAAAGUAAGAGGAUUGUGAAGCAGGCAAAAUGUACUUUUUUUUUUUUUUUUUUUUUUGGUGGAUCACAUUUCUUUCAGGGAGUCAUCAUGGGCAUAUUGUGUAACUUCUGAGAAAUUCCUGACCUAGAUUUUUCUGUCUUGGGUGUUUUUAUUGUUGUUCAAGUGUUGUUUAGAUAAUGGUGAAAGUCUCUGUGCAACAUCCCAGAAGAGAAAAAGAAAAUCCCUGCAUACAGGGAGAAGAGUUUUGGGAAAAUCCUUGCGUGCUAUAGGGUUGAGAUCCUUAAAGCUCUUCUUGCCUCUGAGGAGAAGGAAGGGACAUGUAUGACUUCUACCAUCUCUUUUACAGCCCAGCCCUGGGGAUGGCUGAGGGAUAGUUCUAAUCCUCCACCCAAAGUAAACUACAAUAACUUUGAGGUUGUUCUGAUCUGCUAUAGCAAUGGAGUGGAAAGUACAGGAUCUCUGGGAUUCCUAGAGUACGCUCUUUUACCUGACAAACCAGAAACAAACAAUUGUGUGCUUUCUGGUGAUUUUUUUUUUUUUUUAGGCUAUCGGCAGAAAGAAUCUUUUUUUGGCCCCAAGGACAUGUGGUUCACUGGGCUUGUAAGCAAGGAAGGUGCAAGCCUUCUCUAGGGUUCUCCCCCACUCUCCCAAAGUUAAUGUUUUCAAUCUCAAAUUACUCAAUUAUUGUGCCCUUCUGUGUCUCAGACAGUGGAAUGCAACAUUAGCCCUAUGGUAUUCAGCUUCCUUUAAUUAAAUACAGUGGAACAAUAUGUUGUUAAUGAUAAGCAGACGUGAAGUUUUGUUUAACCACACGUCCAAUUGCUCACUGAAAGAGAUAAGAAAUCGCAACUAUAUUUCCUUUAAUUUAUUAGAUCUGUCAGAGUAAAAAUAACCUCUAAGAUAAGAUAAUGGCACUAUAAAUUUUGCUUCUUCAUUUAGAGAAUGAUUUAUGAUCCUUUCAUUUGCCAAAACAAUUUCUUUAGCGAUUGAGAUUCCAACUCUCCAGCAUUUCUCUAAAUUCUAAAUCUAGACAGAACUUUUAAACAUGAAGCACAGUAAUUGGCAUACAAUAUAAUGCCUCUUUUGCAGCUGUCUCAUUUUAAAUACAACUACUGAUUGAAAAUCUUAAAUUUCUUUAGUCACAGCUCAAAGGAAUAUGUUUUAGUUAUUUGAAGUAACCUAAAAAGCUGCUCUUUAGGACCUGACCCAGAGCCCAGUGAAGCCAGUUUUUCUAUUUAAUUCACUGGGGCUUGGAUUAAGCCCAUUUUGUUUAAUUAUCCCAACUACAGGCAAUGUUGAUUAGAUGAUACUGUGAUCUUGCUCUCCAAAAGAAGAAUUUUUGGCAAGAAUUCUUCCCUUGUUAAAAUCAGGUACUGCAGAAGUUGAGCAUCUCUAGGAUCCUGCUGUCUUUUUGUUGGGAUCACCAAUAGAGGGAAUGUUUAGAGGGAAUAUUUUCCUUUAAUUAGGACAUGAGUAUCACUCAUCAGGUCACCUUUUAGUGGUGGUGAGAUCUGUGAUUGCUUUGUAGUAGAAAAUAAUGGAACUCUCCCUGGGAUCAUUGUACCGAAUUUAAAAUACAGGAUAAAGUGACAGUGGAAAGACUAACUUACAUGAAGUGAAAUCAAAUGGCUGAAGAGACAUGUGUAGCUUGCAUUCUUGAGCUAUUAAUUUUUUUAACCUGAAAGAGUAAUGGGAGACUUAUUGUCCAUACCAAGAAAGGGGGGCUUGCUAUUGGUAAAAAUUGUAGAACCUUAAUAUAGAUGAUUCUUUAAAUUUUAUUAUGUUUUGGAAUAGAAAAUUGCUAAUGGAAAAUUUUAAUUUAAUAAAAUAAUUCAAAAACCUAUAAAAACACAUUUAUGGUAUUCUUUUAAUAUAAAACUGUCAAUAUAAACUUUUUCCCAUUUAAUACUGUGAAAGACAUGCUGUACUUCUAUUUACGUUUCAUCACAUUUACUCUUGAUUCAGAAAAUUGGGCAGAAUGUCAUGCAAAUUUCUAACACAUGGUAAUUUUGUGAUCUUGACAAUGAAGCUGCUCAAGGGUUGUGUUGUUUAUAACUUUAGAUUGAACUACAGUGUGUGAAAUGUGAAGCUUUUGUAAAAACUGAAGACGAGAAAUUACUGCAGUUCUCUGGAAUAAUUACAGUCAAAACUUUCUGGAACAUAAAUUAAGAAAACAAAAUCUUCAUCUUAUUUUCAUUCUCUCUUUCAAGCUGCAGAAAAAUGUAACAAGAAACUUCAUUAUUGGCCCCACUUUGCAUUUGUGCUUCAGAAUUAUGACAUUUAUUUGGGAGCACUCAUAAAUCUGUCAAGCCUCCACAACACACUGAGUGUUGUUGCCUUGGACUUCGGGCAGCUUCCAGAAAAGAGAGAACCACGAUUUGUUUGUUUUGUUUUGCUAUGUUGUUUUCCUUGCCAUCAGCUUCCAAUUGCUAAUAUGCCAGAGAGCUGAAGUCAUUUUAUUGUUUAUGAUUGUUUAUUUUUGGCCUUAUAAAAAGUUUAUAACUUUUACACACAUUCAAUAAUACUUAACCUCUGUUUUUAAGUAUUUUUUUAAAAAAAGUCAAAUACCAAACUGCCUUUCUUACUUAAAUGGCUUUAGGGUAUGGCCUUCAUCUUGGAUUGAUAGGAGAGUUUUUGUCAUUUAAAAUGCCAGAUUUAUGCUUUUCCUCUUCCAAAUAAAAGGUGCAUUUAAGUGUAGGCCUGUUUGGAAAGGCCUCAGAACUGAAACUUCUUCCACCUCUUGUGUGUGUCUAGCUGGUUUCAUUCUACUUUCGACAAAAACUGCUUCAUUGACCUCAACCUGUAUCUUUCUGUUCAAUAGUAGUUUCGCCGUUUUACUGAGAACUAAGGUGCAAUAGAAAGGGUUAGAGAUUCUUAUGUGUUGUUGAUGAUACUAGUUUGAUCGUUUCUGUGUAGUUGUUACCUGUCUAUCAAGCUGUGAUCUUGACUUACAAAGCAUAAUGUUUGUGUCAUGUAUCUGAGCCCCCCAUACACAGCAACCUCUAGAGUCAGGAAGGAGCAGUGCAGUAUAACACAGGAUUUCUGUAUAGCUUAACUGGAAGACAAACCUCUCCUUAGGGCAAAUUCAUUCUCUGUGUGGAAAUUAAAAAAGGCUCUUGAGUUUAUCCUGUACUUGAACUAUCUUGAAGCUAUAAUGGAUUCUCUUGUUCUUGCUGUGAAAGACAGAAGUAUUUCCAGUAACUGGCAAUACAGAUUUUUUCCAGAUGUGCAAGAAACUGCCUCAAGUUAAACUGACCUAAAUAGCAAGUGAUGAUUUUUACUUGUUCUUUUCAUUAUAUCAAAAUGACAAAGAGUUUCUACUUACCAAUUCCUCAUAGUUCGAUGGGUAUGUGUAAGUAUACGAAUAAGGAAACAGAAGCAGCUGGGAAUAGGAGUGAAUAGUGAGGUAUGCCUUGAUGGUAGAAAGAUGUUCACGAAUAAAAUCAGCCAAAGCCUUGGUCUCCUUUUCAGACUCAGGUGCACUGCCACAGUAAGUGGAAUCACAAGGUCUACUUGAGGCCCCAAUAGCUGGAAAGAAGGGUGAAUUUAAUGAAUAUUUAAUGAAAAAAAGGAUUGGUUGUUGGAAGAGUGGUGAUGUUACAUCACUUUCAUGGAUAAGCCUUGGAAAUUCUACUGAAUUCUACAGAAAAUGGCACACAUGCCAUUUCUGAGGAGAGAAUAUUUCAUUGCAUAGUUAAGACACUGGGCAGCAUGAUGUAGCGUUCGGGAAAUAUUUCCUAUAGGGCAGGCAUACUUGGAAGGACAUGACUAUUGAUGUAAAUCCCCCUAUUAUCUAAGUCAUUUGGCAUAUGAUUUACUUCAGUACUUCAACAAUCCUUUUCUUGCGUGUCUUCCCCAUUUCUAGGAUGCUCCCAGGAACCAGCCAAGUGGAACCAAUCAAGAGAAACCCCUCUCCCACCUAGUGAAACUAAUUUAAAAAAAAACUAAUGUUCACAGAAGUAGCCAUACUAAUGACCCUCGUAACCAAAGUCUGGUUUUUUUGCCCAGAAUUGCCCUAAGAAAUUGAACGUAAGCUUCUCCACAACACUAUACUGAUGAUUUUCACUGGAGCUUGAGAGGGACCAUCAUGCAGUGAAAAUCCAUACAUAAGUAUCUUGACUGUUGUACCUCUGAAUGGUAGUUUGCAGCUAUUGUUAGGAGACACUUACUGCACCACCCAGCAUCAAAAUUCCUGUUGGGAUCAGUACCAAUGCAGCUGCUGCCAGCAUUUUUAGAGCGUGUCUUUCUCCACAGGCGGUUCUGAAAUAGAAUGGUUAAGUGCAUAUCAAAAUUAAGAGGAAGUUCUAGCAGUUGACUUGAUCAGCAAUACUUUUGAGAAAUAAAAAUGUGCUUACGCUUGUCCAAGUGUAAACAUAGCCAUCAAUAUUAAGAACAGGCAGGAUGUAGAAGUCCAAUUUGUUGAGAAGAUUGGUCAUGACACUAUCUUCUCCAUAGGUCUCAACAGCCUAGUUGGAAAGAAGACAGUGCUGACACCUUCAUAGAAUCAAAACAAAGCACCUCUUGUAUGUAUUGAGAGGCCUGGGUAGAUCAGGAAUUAAGUGAUGUAGUGGUGCAAAGUGAUCCUGAUCACUUCACCAUGAGAGAUAGAAGCUGCUGCUAAAGAGCCAUCUCAUUCUGGUAGAUAAAUUACAUGGUAAAGUAGUGUUGAUUAUGAGCAGAGCAAUAAAUCACUGGAAAAAGAUUUCCACCUACUAGUUUCUUGUUUAGAGGCAGCAAAGUUCCUGUGCAUAUACUCUCUAUAUCUCCUGACCCUUUAAAGGUUUGGGUUUAAUUUAUGUGAAAAGGAAAAUCAUUGUUCCCAUUUCUGAUACCUGUUGUGCAGAGAAGUUUCUUCAGCAACCAAAACUGUAAAGAAUACUUGCAAAGAACAUCCUUACACACUUUUCCAGACACAUGCUUUGCAUAAUAUACGUAAGAACUCCUGCCAUAAACCUGUAUGUUGUGAUUCUUCAUGGCCUGCCACUUUGUGCACUUCACAGAUUUCAGUGAGCAUGCAAUGAUCACAGAAAUGUACUCUAAGAACUAUGGUGCACCCAUGUUUCCUUUACCCUACACAGAUGUAAAGGAUAGCACAGGGGGCAAUGCAAUGGAGAAAUGGUAUCUAUUGUCUUUUAGCUGAGAAUGGGAAAGGUUGGAUGUAGCAUCUGCAAAAGUCGAUUUUGACCACUAGAACUGAUGCUUCUUUCCAUUUUUUUGGGGGGGGGGGUGUUGCAUAUUCCUCUAAUUUUUGACUUUCAUGUCUAGAAGACAUCUCAGAUGAACUUCAGAUGACUCUCAGAGGACGGUGCUUUUAAAGCACUUCUGCCUAGCCACACUUGGAACCACUGUGCAAAGCCACUACUGGUGUCAGGUACAUCCAUGAAUUAAGCAGCCAGACAGAGAAAAUGUCAGCUGUAGUGACGUGAAUUGCUAAGAGAAAAAUGAUAACACAUACUGUCUGCAGCCUUAUUGGGAGAUAAUGAAAUCACAUUCCCAUUGACUCCACUGAGAUGCCACUUUCAAUUUCCACUGCUUCUUACACAAAACCGCAUGGCUGUCUGAGAAGACGGAGAUUACGCUUGCCAUCAAUUUCUGUGCCAGCAGGGCUCACUGAAAUACUUCAGCUUUCCUUUACUCAGGUUUUAAAUACAAGCUACUGCUUCUGUUUUUUAAAAAACUUCAAGCAGAAAUUCUUACAAAAUUUUAGACUCAGUUAGUGAGUUAUUCUGUGAAGGUGACUGAUUCCCACCACCAAGUUGAGGGGGAAUACACCUUCUCCUGUAGAGACAACCCUGCAGCAUUUAAUAACUCAUACCUGCUUAAUAGUGGUGGCAAGGAGCAAGAAAAUAGAAAGGAAGUAAAAUUGUUUCAUUUGAAGGCUGAAGUGUCCCAGCCUGAAGUGAAGCUAAUUUCACCACCUGUGAGUUCUUUUCAGAAUAUAUCAUUUCAUGUUUUAGAAACCAUUCUGUGCAACCUAAAGUGACAUCUCAAAGGGAUGUAUAUGGACAGUAUUCCUGUCUCCCUGAGUGGCAUGUAGAGAGAUGCAGCUCUUCUUCUCUUGCUUCCUCUUCUCUUGGGUACGUUUCCUUAGUGUAUGUUUCCUUUGCUUCACUGAAGGUAGGUUUCCAUCCUCUCAGUUGUCCCACCGAGCAAGCCUGACUGCCGCAAAUACAGAACCUGAAGCUGUGGGAACACAGCCUUUUUGGCACACAGUCCAUUGCCUUCUGAAGUUGCCCUCAGCUGCCUUAUUCCUUACACCUUAUGAUUAUGUAAAGAGUAUGACUUGAUUUAUAGUGUUGCUAGAGCUGUUUGCUUGUCUCCCACCUUUCUCUGACUACAGGUGAAAAGAGGAAUCUACAGAUUGCAUAAGUAACCCGUUUAGUUGUCAGUACCUCUUACACAAGCUGAAGAAGUCUUAAACUUCUCAGAUUAAAGGGCCAGCCAUUAAGACAUGUUUUAAGUUGUUAUGCCCUAACCAUCUGACGUGAGAGAAGAGACAUGCAGCCAUGUAUUUAGAGGAAAAAAGGCAGUUUGCAGUGGCUUCAGCCCUUGACUCUCACUUAAGAGUCUCUUAAAUGGUUGCAUUUUGUAAAAUAUUUUGCUUACUGACUUCUUUCACAAACCACUGGCAGAAAGCAGGGGAGAUCCACUCUCUUGCAUGGAAACCACAAUCCAUAAAGAUGGCCGCCUUAUUUGUACCACUUUUUCCCACCUAGGGAAAACAACAACAACAAAAAAAAAGGUCUUGAACAAAAUAAUUUGUUUGUAGAACAAGUCAGAUUGUUGACCUAAAGUGUAAAACUUUAGUAUGGCAUUUGUUGAUUAAAUGGAAAUCUGUGGACUACUCUCAGCUGUAGCUGAUCAUGAUGUUUCAUCUAAAACCAUACAAUGCUAAUAAUUUUGUUUUUAUUAAUGCAGUUUGAUUAUUUGAUUAUUGAUUAUUCUGCACCCUUGAUAUAUUUCCAGUAGUGGCUCUAAUUGUUGAUCUUGUUUCAUUGGAUGCUAGAUUAUAGUAAAUGCUUCUGCAAUUUUGGGCAAGUAA